rnacentral:lncRNA from 1 species
AUCAGGAGAUCUAUAUUAGGUCAGUUCACUCAACCCUGGUUUUCCUAUUUCAGCUUCCCUUGCAACUCCGUCAGUGGAAGCCAAGUUGGGGUAGACAUGGCACAAGGACAGCAAGGAAGAAAGAAAAAAAUGCAUCCCCUUUUUUGUUGUUAUUUUCUCAACAGUCUCUGGAAGAAAAGAAAAAGAAGAACAUGAGCUCCAAACAGAGGAUAUUGCAGACCAUACAUCACUCUGCUAGAGGGGAGUCUCCAGCUAAAAUAGCCACAUGGUAUUUCUGGAACAGUUUCAGAAAUGAGAAGAGUUCUUUCGUCAUAUGGAAAAGUGUACAGGAGGCAAACAGCCCAGAAAUUUCCGGUCUCCUGUAUUCAGGAAGCAGCUUUACAAGCAGUCUGGAUAUACCUGGUGACCUCCACUGUGACAUGGUAAUCAGUCUCCCGUCCAGAAUAGUUUAGAAUACCAAAAUUAUGUCUCUUGCCUCUCAAAGAACACCUUUAUGUUCAACAGGGAGCUAAGAUCUUCUCUAUAUCAAGAAUGAAG